CCCGCAACGAGCGCAACCCCCGCCGUUAGUGCCAGCGGUUCGGCCGGGCACGUCUAACGGGACUGCCCGCGAAAGCGGGAGGAAGGAGGGGACGACGGUCUGGUCAGCAUGGCCCUUACGGCCUGGGCGACACACGUGCUACAAUGCCCACUACAAAGCGAUGCCACCCGGCAACGGGGAGCUAAUCGCAAAAAGGUGGGCCCAGUUCGGAUUGGGGUCUGCAACCCGACCCCAUGAAGCCGGAAUCGCUAGUAAUCGCGGAUCAGCCAUGCCGCGGUGAAUACGUUCCCGGGCCUU
rnacentral:rRNA from 1 species